GGCUAAUUUUUGUAGAAAUGGGGUUUCACUGUGUUGGCCAGGCUGGUCUCAAACUCCUGGGUUCAAGUGAUCAGUUCACCUCGGCCCCCCAAAAUGCUGGGAUUACAGGCUUGAGCCACCGC